GAAUUUUCCACAAUGGGGGCAACCCUGAUGGAGCAACGCCGCGUGCAGGAUGAAGGCCUUCGGGUUGUAAACUGCUUUUGUCUGUGACGAAUAUGACGGUAGCAGACGAAUAAGGAUCGGCUAACUACGUGCCAGCAGCCGCGGUCAUACGUAGGAUCCAAGCGUUAUCCGGAUUUACUGGGCGUAAAGAGUUGCGUAGGUGGCAGAGUAAGUUGGUAGUGAAAGCGUCCCGCUCAACGGGAUAUACAUUAUCAAAACUGCUCCGCUUGAAGAUGAGAGAGGUCACUGGAAUUCCAAGUGUAGGAGUGAAAUCCGUAGAUAUUUGGAGGAACACCGAUGGCGUAGGCAGGUGACUGGCUCAUUCUUGACACUAAGGCACGAAAGCGUGGGGAGCGAACGGG
rnacentral:rRNA from 1 species